rnacentral:rRNA from 1 species
UACGGAGGGUGCAAGCGUUAUCCGGAUUUACUGGGUUUAAAGGGUGCGUAGGUGGGUCUGUAAGUCAGUGGUGAAGUCUCCGAGCUUAACUCGGAAACUGCCAUUGAUACUAUAGGUCUUGAAUUAUCUGGAGGUAAGCGGAAUAUGUCAUGUAGCGGUGAAAUGCUUAGAUAUGACAUAGAACACCAAUUGCGAAGGCAGCUUACUACGGAUAUAUUGACACUGAGGCACGAAAGCGUGGGGAUCAAACAGG